rnacentral:rRNA from 1 species
GACGAACGCUGGCGGCGUGCCUAAUACAUGCAAGUCGAGCGAAUCGAUGGGAGCUUGCUCCCUGAGAUUAGCGGCGGACGGGUGAGUAACACGUGGGUAACCUGCCUGUAAGACUGGGAUAACUUCGGGAAACCGGAGCUAAUACCGGAUACUUUCUUUUCUCGCAUGAGGGAAGAUGGAAAGAUGGUUCUGCUAUCACUUACAGAUGGACCCGCGGCGCAUUAGCUAGUUGGUGAGGUAACGGCUCACCAAGGCAACGAUGCGUAGCCGACCUGGGAGGGUGAUCGGCCACACUGGGACUGAGACGCGGCCCAGACUCCUACGGGAGGCAGCAGUAGGGAAUCUUCCGCAAUGGACGAAAGUCUGACGGAGCAACGCCGCGUGAGCGAAGAAGGCCUUCGGGUCGUAAAGCUCUGUUGUUAGGGAAGAACAAGUACGAGAGUAACUGCUCGUACCUUGACGGUACCUAACCAGAAAGCCACGGCUAACUACGUGCCAGCAGCCGCCGUAAGAC